GAUGAAGAACGCAGUGAAAUGCGAUACGUAAUGUGAAUUGCAGAAUUCAGUGAAUCAUCGAGUCUUUGAACGCACAUUGCGCCCCCUGGUAUUCCGGGGGGCAUGCCUGUCCGAGCGUCAUUGCUGCCCUCAAGCACGGCUUGUGUGUUGGGCCUCCGUCCUCCUCCCGGGGGACGGGCCCGAAAGGCAGCGGCGGCACCGCGUCCGGUCCUCGAGCGUAUGGGGCUUCGUCACCCGCUCUUGUAGGCCCGGCCGGCGCUUGCCGACACAUCAAUCUUUUUUCCAGGUUGACCUCGGAUCAGGUAGGGAUACCCGCUGAACUUGAGCAUAUCAAUAAGCGGAGGA
rnacentral:misc_RNA from 1 species